rnacentral:rRNA from 1 species
UACAGAGGGUGCGAGCGUUGUCCGGAAUCACUGGGCGUAAAGGGCGCGUAGGCGGUCUCUUAAGCGUGUGGUGAAAGCCCGGGGCUCAACUCCGGGUCGGCCGUGCGAACUGGGGGACUGGAGCUUGUCAGAGGCAGGCGGAAUUCCGGGUGUAGCGGUGGAAUACGUAGAGAUCCGGAAGAACACCGGUGGCGAAGGCGGCCUGCUGGGACAGUGCUGACGCUGAGGCGCGACAGCGUGGGGAGCAAACAGG